AAGGGCCAGAGACAAGUCCGGUAUUAGGGUUCCUCAGCAAGCUUUCACUCCUCUUUUAGAGGAGUCAGGGUCAACUGAUGAUCUGACCACCUAUUUUUCCCUCUCUGUGCUGCUGGGAAUUGAACCUAGGACCUCAAGAAUAUUAGGCAAACCCUCUACCACUGAGCUACACCCAGCCCCAUCUUACCAACAUUUUAAAUUUGAAAAAUCAGACCUUGUUGGCUUUUCUUUUCUGUCAUCAGUGAUUUUCCAACCUGAGUGCAUAGAAACUUAAAGCAAGAAUUUUUUCUUUUUGUUAUGCACAGAGCAGCAUUUUCUUCCGAGGAUAAUAUGCAUAAGUGAAGCUCUAGCACACACCGCUGUCCUGUGGCCACUGCAGCACUGUGCACAAUUGUGCUUUCACUGUCAGUGUUGAGGACCCACACCAGGCGCACACAGGGCUCUGACCUGCUGAGCCACCUCCACACCAGGGCACUUUGUGCUUUGGUUUCCUCUUCUCUGAAAUAGUGGUGAUGAUUCUUGCCCUUCUCACAAGUUUCUUGGAAAAUAAUGUGUGUACAGUGGUUGAUGAAAUGUGAAGUACAACCACACUUAUCUCAGAUCUCCCCCCACGCAUUAGGGGCAUUAGGGCUUGAACUCAGGGCUUCACACUGAGCUAUGUCCCGAGCUCCUCCUCCUUGAACUCACUAUGUAACCCAAGCUGGCCUUGAACUCAUGGCAAUCCUCCUGCCUCAGCCUCCUGACUGCUGGGAUUACAGGUUUGUGCCACCACGCCUGGCUAAAUUAAAAAAAAAAUUUGAGACAGGUUCUCACUAAAUUACUAAAUUGCCUGGGCUCAAACUUUCAAUCCUCCUGCCUCAGCCGCCCAGUGCUGGGGUUAUGGACCAGUGCCACUGUGCAACCUGAUGCAGCAGGUUCUUUUGCUUCCGCAUCAGCAGAGAUGGGAACUGAGAUGCAGUGUUCCAGACACACAGCUAGGGGGUACCCACUGAGGAACUGCGUUUGAAGACUCCACUAGCACACUCAGCUUAGGGGCCCCUGGGCACUUGUGAGCCAGCUGGUCACAGCUCCCUGAGCACAGGGCCAAGGCCUAGGCCCAGGGGAAGGGCUGCUGAAGCCAUUGUGCUAAGCAGCCAGCUGCAUACCUGAGGAGGAAAGAGAAUCUUAGCCGUGGAUCUGCCACUCUCUGCUCUUCGCUCUUCGCUCUUCCUCUGGAAGCAGCAGGGCCCCCAUCCAAAGGUCCAGACCCGCAUCUCAGUCUCCCUCCAGCCUGGCCCUCGGGCUCUGCCUCUUUGUCUCCUGGCCCUCAGCCCCGUCCCACACUGUCUCUUGGGCCCUCUUGCUUAUUGCCUGCCCCAUUGAUUGAAAAGUCUCUCUCAGCUUCUCCAAGGAGUCCCAGGAAAAAUGAUCCGCCAGCCUAUUGAUUCUUCAUUAGACUUACAUUUUCACGUGUGCUAAAUUGGUUUUAAGAGCUUUUUCUGUUGUUAUUGUCUUGUCAGACCCCGCGGUCCAGGGCAAACCAAGUUUAAAUGUUGUGGCUUCUUAGGGGGGAAAAAUCACCAGGCCUGGCCUGUGAUUACACGUUUUUUUCUGCACUGUUGUCAUGAUGACAAUAGUGAUUUGGUUUAAGUAUCUUUAGGGAAAGAGGACUGUGGAAGCUGCUCAGGUCAAGAUGGGGCUGGCAAGGGAUCCAAAGCCCUGAAGGAAAGACACAGAACAGUCUUUCUUUUCCUGAAAUUGAAUUUAGCACUUGAACUUGUAUUCAUCGCUUUUGGGACAAGAGUAAAGAUGAAAGUUUAAAAAAAUCACUUCUAUGUCUUUACUCCUCUUCUGGGUCGAAUAGAGGAGAAAUAGAAAACACAGCUCCACUUAUUCUAGCUCUCUUUCUCCCCCUUAAGUAGCUAGGGUGUGCGUGCGUGUGUGUGUGUGUGUGUGUGUGUGUGUGUGUCCGUCCCUCUGGACUUUAUGUAGUGUUGAGGGAGAGGCCACAGCCUCCUGCUUUCUAGCAGGGCAGAACUCCACCACAAGGAAACUGGUAAUAAAUACUACUCCACACAGGCCAGGGUGGAGAGAUCCAAAUGAGGAAGGGGAGGGAAGAGGGGUAGAGACUCAGAGGAAGGGAGAAGAGGUGCCUUAGAGGCCUACCUGGCAGAGAGAGGGAAGGUGGGUGAGAAAAAGGGAGACCGGGAGGGAGAGGACUCUGGGCUCCUUUGGAGAGAGGAAGAGAAGCAAAGAACAGGAAGACGGGGAAGGAAAGGCAGUAGAAAUGAAGAACAAAUGGGAAAGGAGAGGAGAAAGGAGAGGACAAAGGAAGGGAAAGAGUAAAGAGAGGAAGGGAGAAAGAGCAGAACAGGCAGCCAGCCCCAGGGUGCUCUGAGGCCGUGCAGCCCACCCUGUCCCCAGCCCAGCCUCCUCCUGGCCCGGCAGCAGGCAGGCCAGCUGGGGAGUGGACACGGCUGCCGAGGAGAGGAGCCCAGGCAGGAGAGCUGAAUGUCUCCAUGAUGUGUUUAUCCCCUAAUCAGUUCAUUAGUUAUAAACAACAUGACAUUAGAAGUUAGGAGGCAGUUGAUAUUAAUUUUUAUUUAACUAGUUGAUGUUUAAUCCGUCACGCCAGGCUGGGUAGCAGCGAGAAAGAUCUUCCUGACACAAAACCAGUUAGAACUUCAUAAGGCGCAAUCAGUGUCCUUGUGCUGAAACAAACAAGAAAGACAGAGACCAGAGAGAGAGAGAGGAGGCGGGGGCUGAAGCAGAGGGAGCCCUGCCAGAAAUGAAAACAGUGUGGUGGGCGGGAGAGACCUGACCCCCUAAAAGGCCUGGGGUGGGGGACAGAGAGAGACUGAGGUGGAGGAGCAGAGCUCCAUGGGCUGCAGGGCAGGGCGUGGCUAGGGAGCCUCACUGCCCAGGGCCAGCACCCUGGGGCAAGGACUGUGUCCAGUGUCCACCGCCUGGCAGGCGGCCAAGGGCCAACAUCUCCGCAAGGUGAGGCCCUGGCUUUUGGAAACUCUGGAGGCACGAAUCUUCUCUUUGCUCCAGAAAGAGCAGGCUGAGCAAGGAAGGAGGCCAAGUCUGGGAGUUUGAGCCCAGCAAGUCAAGUUUGACAAAGUCUGCAGGGUCCCGGGCCAGAGCUGGGUGUGUGCGCUUGUAGGCACUGGCAGAGUGAAGAGGCCAGGGAUGGUAUUGGGGCUCUGCAGGCCCCUGAAGGGCUUUCCCGGACUUCGACGGUGCCUGCACAGCGUCCCUGCUCCAAGGCUUCCAGCAGGGAGCAACUGCUUGCCUGGUUCUCGCCAGCUGCUUCGAGGUCCCCGGCUGCCCCGGGUUAAGCUCCCCCACCCCGCGCCGACCGGGAGCGCUGGGCUUUUUCCACCCUCACCCGGGCACCGGCCAGGCACUGCUUGGUCACGCCUGCCUGCACAACCAGCGGUGGGGCCCGGGCGGUAGUUUUCCGCUGUGCUCACGACAGUUUGGAGGGACAGAGGAGUCCUCGCCUCUGGAAGACUCCCGCCGGCCUGGGCAUCGCCCGUUUGCAUGUUAAUCUGCCUCCACCGCGAAAAGGAAAUCGCUGAAAUUCCGAAGAAAAUUGCCUCUCGUCAGCGGUUAAUAGUUAACUCAGGCAGGAAAGUUCCCAGGGAAGGGCGAGAGCCAGGCGAGGGCGCGGGGAGGCCCCGACCCGGCCCCAGCCAGCAGCGCUGGGCCCGCGCACCUCCCUCCGCGGGCGGCCGGCGAGGCCCCCGCCUCGUAAUUAGCGGCGCUUAGUUCACAAAACCCUUCCUGGGAGAAAAUCUGUUCCCUCGUUCCGGGGCUCGGUUCAGCACCUGAUUCAGCCGGGGUCUUGGUAUGUAGCCCAGGCUGGCCUAGAACUUGUGGCGAUCCUCCUGCCUCAGCCUCUCAAGUGCUCAGAUUACAGGCCUGUGCCACCAAGCCUGGUUCCUUGGACCCCUAAGUCUGAGCACUCAGAGCUGGCUGCUGUGACCAGGCCAGAAGACUGAGGCUACAGGCUACCCAGCCCUGCCUCACCCACCCCCAGAGCUGUUCUUUGUGUGGAGAGAGUGAUUUUUGCACCAGGCCUGUCCCUCUCUGAGGUGCCCUCAGAGUCAUUCCAGGAGCCUCCUGAGCUGCCCAGGCCGGCCGGGCCGCACCAUGGGCAGGAGGCGGCGGAGGGGGGCAUGUGCAGGUGCGGAAUGAGAAUUAAAAUCGCCCUCAACGAUCCAGUACACUUUUUAUCAGCCAUCUAUCUGAGAGCCGGGCCCAUUCAUCAUCCGAGGCAGUCUCCCUGAAAACAAGACCCAUUCAGAUUUUGUACAAAUUAUCAUAUUUAUCAUCGUCUCCAACUCCGGAGUAACAUCUCGGCCAAGUGUCUGCCGCCUCUGUCUCCGGGGAGCCGCGCCGAGCGCCUUUGCCCACCCGCGACUCCCCGCCCGCCGCCUCCUCCCGCGCCCUCCUGGACUUCCAGCGACCCCACCGUGCAGCCCCAGCCCCGGGACAGCUUCUGCCCCGGAUGAGGAGUUUCCCGCAACCAGCGGGGUCCCAGCUCGGUCCACCUCCUCCUGGAAGCGCGCUGCUCGCUGUGCACGGCCCCAGGAUCAGGGAGGCUUCCCCAGGUCAGCCGACAAACUCUGCACCCGGCCGCUGCAGGGAGAGGCCCACAGGGUCGCAGGAGGGGGGCGUGGCCCCGGCUCCCGGCAAGCAGCGGGUCUCCACCUUUCACUGAGGUCCUCCAGCCUAGUCAGGCAAAAGGCUGCAGCCACAGCUUCUGCGGAGGAUUCUGUCGCUGUGUUGCUGUGGGCCUUUGAUCGGCUUAAUUCCUUCAUUCAUCCCUCGGUUGUUAAUUCAAAAACACUGCCGAGCACCUCUCUGGGUCAGCUCUGGGCUUGGCAUGGGAAUUCCCGUGGGGCCAGCACAGCAGCCUUUUGCCCCUGGAGGGUGCAGUCCAUACAGCAGAACUUCCUGGGGUGGUGCAGGUGCCCUAUCCCUGCAUUGCUCCUCGUGCUGAUACGAGCCAUAGGUGGCCCCUGAGCACUUGAAAAGAGUCAAGUGUGGGUGGCGAACUGAUGUUUCAUUUUAAUUAAGUUGGUUUAUUUAGCAUAGUUGUGGCCAGUGGCUACUGUGCUGGUCAGCACAGCUCUGGCGGGUGGGUUCGUGUUCAUUUUGCUGAGCAAGGCAGGAUACACGUGAAGGAACCCCAUCCUUCCCGGGCUGUGGAAGGCCUGUGGUGGGGGCUCCCUUCUCCCUGUUCCAGUCACCAGUCUCUGAGCAGUAUGAGAAUGCAACUCGGGCUGGGGAUUUAGCUCAGUGGUUCUGCCGCCUGCCUCACCUGCCUUGCCAGCACAAGUUCAAGUCCCUAGUUCAAUCCCCACUACCCCCCCGCAAAAGAAAGCAACUCAACCGGGACAAAUAACAUGAGACCCCAAGUCCCUAAAGCAGGCUGUUGUGCAAUAGAAGCAUUCACUGAAUACAUAUUUUGGUACCAGACACGAUUUGCAAGUGCGCUAUUAUAAGUCUUACCAGGGGCCCAGAUACCUGUGGGGUGAGAACAGUGGGGACGGAAACAAGGAAAGGGUUCUGGAACAACUGAACGCCUUUCCUUUCUUUACCUGUGCUGGGGACUGAGCCCAGGGCCUCGAGCUUGCUAAGUGCAUGCUCUACCACUGAGCUACACACCCAGCUUGGAAAUACUUCAUUUUUUUUUUUUUUUGGUACUGGGGAUCAAACUAGGGUCCUUGCGCGUGCGCAGCAGGCUGCGAAACCACGGAGCCAAGUCCCCAGACCAGAGUUUUUUUGGUUUUGUUUUGGUGGUACUGGGUUUUUUUUUUUUUUUUUUUUUGGUACCGGGGAUUGAACUCUGGUCCUUGUGCUUGUGAGCCAGGCAGCGGAGCCACUGAGCUAAAUCCCCGGCCCUUGGAAAGACUUGAAAGGAUAUGAUUCUUCAGCUCUGGAGACAGCUGCCAUGCAGAGGCGGGAGCCAGUUAUAUUAGUGAGAUCCUCCUGCUUCAGCCUCCCAGCCUGCUGGGGGUGUGUGUGCUAUUGUGCUAAGCAGUUGUCUGAUUUUUUUUUUUGAGACAGGGUCUCUCUAUGUAGUUCAGGUUGGCCUUGCACUCACCUUGUAGCCUGGCCUGGCCUCAAACUUGUGGCAAUUCUCCUGCCUCAGCCUCCCUAGUGCUGGGAUUACAUGUAAGUUAUCUGAUUUUUUUUUUUUUUGGUACCAGGGAUCGAACUCAGGACCCUGAGCUUGCGAGGCAGGUGGCGGAACCACUGAGCCAAACCCCCGGCCCUAGUUAUCUGAUUUUUUAAAAAAGGGAAGCCAGAAAUUUAUUUAAAAUUCACUGGAAAUUCAUUAAAAAUUUCAAAAUAAACCACCUAACUGUGCAGAUGAAAAACAACAGAUUGGCAAAGAUAGUUGUUGCAGUUCUAUCUGAAAGUCAGAAGUAUCUUUAAAGAGACUGGAAUGACUGGAUUGUGUGCAACUCAUCCACAGAAGGAGAAAAGUAACCCUUCCCUGCCUUCCUUACUGGGAGUUAAGAGAAGCAAAAUGGAAUUCGCUUCACAUUGACUUAUUGUGAAUGCCUCGGCUCCUGGAGUCCAGGAUUGACAUUUAGUGGGAGGAAAGGCAGUUGUCCCUGCUGUUGGGCCUGAGACAGCCUAAGAGCAGUACCUCUGCCAGGGCCCUGGUUAAAUGGCAUAUGUAUAUGACUUGGAUACAACUAUUCAAUGGAAUGCUAUGUAUCCUUGACUCCAAGGGAAGUAAUAUUAUCUCUAACAAUGUACAUUAUCUUUAUUUAUUUUUUAUUUAUUUUUGGUACCAGGGAUGGAACUCGGGUCCUUGUGCUUUCGAGGCAGGCGGUGGAACUACUGAGCUAAAUCCCCGGCCCUACAUUAUCUUUAAAAUAUACAGAUGUGAAAAGAUCUCCAAAGUAAAUUAAAUGAAAAAAAGCACAAAAUAACAUGUCAUUCACAUGAGAGAAAAAGGGAAUACUCAUGGGAACACCUGCAGAGGCUAGUUCUGUAGUGAUGCACAAGAAACAGGAGUCAGUAACUGCCUCAAGGGCCAACGGUGAUCCAAGAGAUGCACACCUGACUGCCAGCAGCAGUUUUCCAGAUUCCUUGUGGCCCUCCCUUCCUGCUUAUACCUUUGUACUGUCUCAUGCUCAACAGCAGGGACAACUGCCUCUUCUCCCACUAAAUGUCAAUCCUGGACUCCAGGAGCCGAGGGAUUCACAAUAAGUCAAUGUGGAGCAAAUUCCCUUUUGCUUCUCUUAACACCCAGUAAGGAAGGCAGGGAAGGCUUAGUGUUCUUCCUUUUGUAGAUGAGGCAACUGAAGCAUAUGUUGUGGUACAAAUCAACCCAGUCAUUCCAGUAUUUCUCAGCAAUGCCUCCAAGGCCCUGGUCCCAUAGAACCAAAGGGAAGACACCAAGCUGGAGAUGGAGGAAGAAGUAACAGGAGAGCCAUGGCCUUUGAGCAAAGUCUCAUCCACUGGUGGCUGGGGUUCUGUGACUACAACUGUGGCUGAAUGUAAUUUAAAGCCUGAUGUGCGCUGUCGGUUUCUGUGCACAUGAACAUGUAUGUACUCCACCAGCUCUCAAGGCACUGAGUCCCCACUGGUCUCCCUUCUCUGAUAACAACUGUGUCCUCCUGUUUAAGCCUGGACAAAGAGCAAAUGAACCAAAGGAUUCUCUACCUGGCCCCAGAUCCUCUCAGCCUCAGGCCUGGAUCCCAGCCUUAGUGCACGACUAAGGAAGGACAGCAGGUAGAUACUGAGGGAGCACUGUACCUGCACCCCAGUGCAUGUGUCCACGCUCAUGUGGGCACAUCUCAGCCUUGGGCAGGACCCAGGGCCCAGCUGGCACAGGGAGCCAGGGGCAGCCUUAGAUGGCGAUGGCAGAUCUGGCAACUGGCUGAUCAAACAGGCCUCCCUUAGGCUCCCAAGUGUCUCCUUCAAGGGAUCUAUCACACCAAUAGAUACAAAGUACUGCUAGGCACUUUGCAAGUGUUAAUUUCCGACUGCUGCUGUAACAAAUUACCAAAAUUUUAGUGGCUUAAAACAACAUUUGUUAUACACUCUUGGGUUCAGAAAUUUAAAAUGGGACAGGGGAGCUUUAUUUCUUUUGUUUGUUUGUUUUUUGAGACAGGUUCUAUGUAGUUCAGGCUAGCUUUGAACUCACUAUGUAGCCCAGGCUGGCCUCGAAUCCACCGUGACCCUCCUGUGUCAGCCUCCAUAGGGCCAAGAUUACAGGCGUGCACCGCCACACCCACCACUUUAUUCUUUCUUACUUUAUUCUUUCUGGAGGCUCUGGGGGAGAAUUUGUGUCCUUCCAUUUCCUAGCUUCUAGAAGCUACCCAUUCCUUGGCUCAGGGCCACAUCACUGCCAUCUAGGCCUCUGUUCUCACAUUUCCGGUGACUCUAACACCUUUACCUCUCUCUAGAGGAUCUUUGUGAUGAUCUUAGACCCAUCCACAUAACCCAGGAUCAUCUUCGAAAGAUCCUUAAUUAUAUCUACAAAAUCCGCUUUGUCAGAAAAGAAAUUUACUUACAGGCUUUGGGGAUUAAGAUUUUGGAUGACAGUGACUGACUAUUAUUCUGCCUACUAUAGCAAGCAUUAGCCCACCUAGCCCGAAUAACAACUCUAAAAUAGACAUUGUCAUCAUUUUGCAAACUGAGAUGCUCAAGGUUAUACACUUAGUACACAGCAAAACUACAGGCACACCUCCCGAGUCUCCUGAUGAUCACCACACAUCUGGGGCCCUGAGGUGCUCUGUGCUGGCAAGUGCCCACUCUGGCUUCACUCACACACACACACACACGCACAGGGGCAUUUCAUGUGUGUGUUCUCCUAAAACAUGCAGACACUACUGAUACGUGAACACACACACAAUACCUGAGCACACGCAUCCACAAACACUCCUAUGCUUAUAUACUGUCACACUGCACACGGGAACACAUGCCCUGCACACACACAUUUGUGCAUACUAUGUCAUGUGCAGUCUGUGCUUAAACAAAUACUGUACACACAUAGCAAAUGUACUUUGAUACUAUUUGCACACACAAAUAUCCUGUGCUAACAACUACAUGAUGCCCUCUGAUACUACUCUUUGCACACCAUGCAAAUAUAUAUUCUCUUUUAAACACACCUUGAACAAAAUAUGACACGCCUGCUAUGACACAUAUAUCCUACACACACAAUUCAUUAAUACCUAUGCAGUCGACACAUAGCUACCUACUCGUGCAUCCUGUGCGCACACACACACUACAUAUUCACUCUUCACACGUGGACACCCUCUUUUGUCUCAAAACACUGCGCGCUGCCGUCUUUCAGGCAUAUUCAGAUGGCGUGCAUAUGUUCUCAAGUACUGCGCGCACAUCCUGCUCACACGUGUGGCAGUUUGAAUACACACACAGAAUCUUCUAAUACAUUUUAUUUUUUGGUACCGGGGAUCGAAGUCAGGACCUUGAGUUUGCGAGGCAGGUGCCGGAACCACUGAGCUAAAUCCCCGGCCCUCUUAAUACAUUUUAUACACAGCUCCUGCCGUUACAGAAAUGUACUAUUCAGCAGGCCCAAAUCUACGCUGAGUUCUCUGCUUUGAUUGCUACUUCACAAGCAAGUAUGCUGCCCACCAGAGGCUGGGGCGCGGGUUGGAGCCGUUCUCCCGGGAGGAGCCGGCGGCAGGGAGGCCCGCCCUCUGCCGCCGAGGUGUGGUCAGCCCCAGGCCCGACCUCAGCCGCGGCAGAAAGUAGUUCCAAUACCAUGUUUGUUAACCAGGUUAUCUGGGCUGUGGAAGAUUUUAAUGUUGAAUUUUAUAGCUUUACCACGCUCUGCCGUCCUUGUGAAUAUUGUAAUAUUGCAUUUUUUACAAGUUACUCUUCUGUUAAUGUUCCAGCUAGUAACUUUUAUAAUCCUCCUCAAUGAAAUUUUUUUGUAUUCUUCCGCACCGUUAACCCCAAUGGCGGCGCCUCGGCCCCUGGCAGGAGGCAGAUAUGAGAUGAAUUCCUCUUUAAUCAGAAAUAAUAAUAAUAAAAACACGCUCGGCUCC
rnacentral:lncRNA from 1 species